CGUAACAAGGUCUCCGUUGGUGAACCAGCGGAGGGAUCAUUACCGAGUUUACAACUCCCAAACCCCUGUGAACAUACCUAUACGUUGCCUCGGCGGAUCAGCCCGCGCCCCGUAAAACGGGACGGCCCGCCCGAGGACCCUAAACUCUGUUUUUAGUGGAACUUCUGAGUAAAACAAACAAAUAAAUCAAAACUUUCAACAACGGAUCUCUUGGUUCUGGCAUCGAUGAAGAACGCAGCAAAAUGCGAUAAGUAAUGUGAAUUGCAGAAUUCAGUGAAUCAUCGAAUCUUUGAACGCACAUUGCGCCCGCCAGUAUUCUGGCGGGCAUGCCUGUUCGAGCGUCAUUUCAACCCUCAAGCUCAGCUUGGUGUUGGGACUCGCGGUAACCCGCGUUCCCCAAAUCGAUUGGCGGUCACGUCGAGCUUCCAUAGCGUAGUAAUCAUACACCUCGUUACUGGUAAUCGUCGCGGCCACGCCGUUAAACCCCAACUUCUGAAUGUUGACCUCGGAUCAGGUAGGAAUACCCGCUGAACUUAAGCAUAUCAAUAAGCGGAGGAA
rnacentral:rRNA from 1 species